UACGAAGGUGGCAAGCGUUACUCGGAAUUACUAGGCGUAAAGGGCAGGUAGGUGGUUUGGUAAGUCUGUUGUGAAAGCUCCUUGCUUAACGGGGAGAGGUCAACAGAUACUGCCAGGCUUGAGUCUAGGAGAGGGUACUGGAAUUCCCGGUGUAGCGGUGAAAUGCGCAGAUAUCGGGAGGAACACCAGUAGCGAAGGCGGCUCGCUGGGCCAUUCCUGACGCUGAGGAGCGAAAGUGUGGGGAGCGAACAGG
rnacentral:rRNA from 1 species